CUUCCAUAGGCAUCCAUCACUUUCGGUGCUGAAACCUGCUCUUCGCGCAGUUGGAAAUAUUGCCUCUGCAGAUGAUGUGCAAACCCAGUGUAUUAUAAGCCAUCAGGCAUUGCCAUGCCUUUUGAAACUUCUGACAAAUAAGCAUAAAAUAAGCAUCAAGAAGGAAGCUUGCCGGACCAUCUAAAAUACCACAGCAAAACAUAAGGCUGUGAUAGAAGCUGAUAUUAUUGCUCAUCUGGUUCAUCUACUACAAAGUGGUGAAACACUUGAUAUUAAAGGAGAAGCUGCGCGGGCCAUCUCAAAUGCCACAUCU